UUCAAAAUAAAUAAUAUAAAAACUCUUUCUUCAUUCAUCUCUCGCACAUUCGGUUCUCCCUUUAUUCCCUCCUCUUUUCUACUAUUUUUCUUCUUUUUCUCUCUUUCUCCUUUAUUGUCCUUUCUAGCAAAGUGCUGCCGCUUCCUCCACACACUUUCCAGUGUCUUACCUCCGAUCAGGCCAGCUUCCUUCUCAUCAUUCGAAAUUUAAGUCCUCAAGUAUCUCUAUCCAAUCCAUUGCCCCUCAUUUCUUCGAAGAUUCUCUCUCACUCUCGGUCUCUUUUCAACGUUUUCCUGUCAUUCUUUUUUAGCUUUGGGUAUCCACAGGCCAAAAAAACACACGCUAGAGUAGGAAGAGAGUUUUCGUGAGUUUUUGUGAUUUUUGAAAUUCUCUGCUUCAACGGAGACUCAUUUCAGAUGAAAAUAGCAGUGGAAGGGUUCAUGCAUGGAGAUCUCGACAAGGUCUACAAGACCAUUAAAUACAUCGAAAAUACUCGCAACAUCGAAAUCGACCUCCUCCUUUGUUGCGGUGAUUUCAAGGCAGUCAGGAAUGAAAGAGAUAUGGAUAGCCUCAAUGUGCCUCCAAAAUAUAGGGAGAUGAAGUCAUUCUGGAAAUACUGUUCAGGUGAGGAGGUUGCCCCAGUUCCCACCAUUUUUAUUGGUGGAAAUCAUGAAGCUUCCAAUUAUUUAUGGGAAUUGUACUAUGGGGGAUGGGCAGCACCAAAUAUAUAAUUCUUAGGGUUUGCUGGGGUUGUGAAGUUUGGCAAUAUCCGUAUCGGCGGACUUUCUGGAAUUUACAAUGCACGUAAUUAUUUUUUAGGCUAUUGCAGCAAUGAUGCGCGCUCAGGAGGCCGAUCCUACCAAUCUGGAAGUACUUAUGAAAUUAAAAAUUUCAGAACAUUAGCUUUGUGGUUUCGAGGAUAGUGCUACCACUUUUAUUCCCUUCUUCACUGCGCGGCUGCUGCUGCUACUGUUUCUGUUCGCCUUCAGCAUUUGGCGUGGUUUCUCAACUGCCUAGGCUUUGUUUUAUGAUUGGAUCAAUGGAUUCUGGAAAUUGUGCCAGCAAAAAUUCUCCCAAGUUAAUUAAAAACUGCACAGACGAAACUGAUAGGGUAAUUAUUGAUCCUUCGGCAACUACUAGACAAGGUAAUAAGGAAUCUUCUCUAGGGCCUAUCACCUCUGAUGCGAACAGAGGAAUUGGAGAGUUCCCCUAUAAAUUUAAUUCUCCACCCACCGAAGUGAAGAAAGCACAAAAUCAUCCUCACUUUGAUCCUGAUACCACCAUAAACCAAGAGUCAAUGGUUUCUGUCAACCAUAGUAGACCUAGAACCCCAAAGGAUGGUAUUUUCGACCCAUUUGCUCCUGGCCCAGAAUGCAUGGUGUUUGCUCCUUCCUACAGGAAAUAUGUUGAUGAAAUGAGGAUAACUGUUGCACGCUGCCUAAAUUUUAACAUCUCUGUUGGAACUGUGGGUUCUGUAAACCAUAGAACUGCUGUAGAUUCUAUUUCAGAUGAAGAAAUGUUUGAGUCUGUUUAUGAAAAUCUCUUGGAAGUUAUCGUUUCAAACCAAGCUGAGGGUUUUCUUAAUGAAUUUUCAAAUAUAGAAUGUGAUCUGAUGGUAGUAAGAUACCCCUUCAGCUCUUUGCCUAAAUGGGGUUUCUGAUACUUGCCCUGGUGCUCCUAUUAAACUCACUGGGAGAUCAAGGGUCAUUGAUUUGGGGUUCUGCAGAAAGCUUGAAUUCUAAAACUACACUUAAUGACAUGGCAGGGGAUCUAAUUUGCUCUAUUUGUUUCAACCCUAACAGCAUGCCUCUAGUUAAAGCUUUUGCUUUUUGCAGAUGUCUGUCUGACUUCCAAAAUAACAGAGUAACAUUGUAUAGUUAUUUUCACUUGCAACUAUUUUUUCUUCUUUUUGACAAGGGAUAAUGUUGCACAACGCAUUGUAGCAUGCAUAUCAUUGUUCCAGCUAUCAUGUAUCUGGUUCUCUUUGACAGAUAAUCUUUUAUGGUAAUCAAGCUUGAAGAAACCUUUUUACUUUAUAUGUGUCCCCACCCAUUUUCCGGUUAUUUUUUUGACGUCUAGUAGUUUCCUUUUUUUUUUUUCCUCCAUUAUUUUGUAAUGCCCGAAUUGAGAUGGUUCUGCAGUCAACACUUAUGUACCCCUAACACGUUCAAAGGAUAAUUUUACAUUGAACUAUUUCACUGCAAAAUAUGUGAUUCAGUAUUCCUUUUCUUGUGUCUACAGAUACAAGAAGAUAUUAAGAUAUAUCUUAAACCCUAGAAUGCAGGGGUUUAUAUAGAGAGAGAGAUGAAUCAUAGCAUAUUUACUGUGAACCCACUGCGUCGAAUAAGACAGCACAAUGGGGAAAUAGGAGGGGUGCUUGGAGGACAAAGAGCCAACACCCGUGGGAAAUGGUUGUGUGCAUAUAUGGUUUUCCAACCAAUGUAUCUGCUCAUCCAUUUCUUAUGCUUGUUGCUAAACUGUUGUUCAAUCUACUUGGUUGAGUUACUAGUAUGAUGUUCUUAUAUAUAUCCUAUGCAGUAUGGUGGAUUUGCGCUCAUUUUCAACUAAAGAAUUUUAUUGGCUCGCAUCAUGCUUUUGGGGCAUCAUCACCUGCAAACUAGUCUAUGAUAUAACAGGUUUUAGCAGCCCUUUUUGUUUCAAAGGAUAUGGAAAACUAAGUGAUAAAGAAAAAGUGGAAUGGAACAAUCGGUGCAAUUUUGUCCUAUGUUCUUUUCUUCUUUUCCUUUUCCUUGUAUAAAAAAUUGUUCAAAAUAUAACUUUCUUUCCUAAAUUUCUUUGCAACAUUGAUCUAGAUAGCCUUAUCUUGUACAGGGAUUUUCAACUUUCCAUGCUUUAAUUGCAGCAUGGGCUUCUCUCUACCUCCUACUAUUCUCAGAUCUUUUUGACGAGGAUUCCAGUAAUGACUUGAUUGUUAAUAGAUUCCAAAUCCCAAGAUAGCUCCUCUUUUUUACUUGAAUGAUUUUCACAUUGAUUUCUUAGCUGUGGGAUUUAUUGAAUUCAGGAAUAGAGAAACAUUCCCAGAAGAGACUGAAGCCUGUAAACGCUGCAACUGUAGAAGAUCCAGAUGUUUGACACUGUAAGUUCACAUGCGAGACAGAACAUUUCACUUAGUACUAUGUAACUCGGACUUGGUUUAAACAUAUACCCGAGAUCGGUAUGUUUAAUUUUCUUUUAAGUUUUCUUCAUGUAUUUAGAAGAUGUUUGGAAUAUGAUACCCGGAAUGUUCAGAGGGUGCUCAAAAAAAGUGAAGAUGUUUAGAAGAUGUUUGGAACAUCUGUUGAGUUUUGUUGUUUGUUGUGAUCAGCAGUUAUUGUGAGUGCUUUGCAGCAGGGAUUUACUGCAAGGAUUGUUGUGCAUGUGAUAACUGUUUGAACAAGCCAGAUUAUGAGUAUAUUGUGCUUCAUAUUCGACAUCAAUUGAAUUGCGUAACCCUCUCGCAUUUGCUCCACCUAUUGUUAACCCACCUAAUGAUUCCCCUAAUGUUACUGGUGAUGAAAACUUGAUGAACACUCCAUCAGCCAGGCACAAAAGCAGAUGCAAAUACAAGAAGUCAAAAUGCCUAAAAUAGUAUUGCGAGUGCUAUCGGAAUCAAUGUUCCAGAGAGUGGAAAAACAGCAGAAUCAGUCUCAUGAGAAGCUAAAUACAGCUCAAGUUAUGUCUGACAGCACCUUGGCCGGGACUGCUAAUUCGUUUUCAUCAAUGUGGGAAAAACUCAUCUGACAUCCUGCCUCAAGAUUACAUGAUAUGAGGGACUGUCAAAAUGUCUCACAGGCUGAAUCAGAAAAAGGAACUAGCCUUCAUUGCUACUCCUCUGCCUUGAGUCCUAAGCAACAAUGUCUGAGUAAGGAGAUUGAUAAUAUCUGUGAGAUCAUGGUAGAUGGUUUUCCUGACUACCACAUGGAAACCUCCAACCCCUUCGACACAGUGAAAUCUGGCUCGGGUUUGGGGCUCUAUAAUGGUGGUACGUGACAAUCUUAAAACAGUGAAGGCAAUUGCUUUGGAGUACGUGGGAUACUACCGUUAGAUGUGGACACUUUGAAGCCUAAUCUCAUUGAAGGGAAAGGUUUGAGUUCGCUAUCUGAUUCGCAAAGAGAAAAAAGUUGUUGAGCAAAUAUUUGUAUGCUUUGCUUCUCCAUUCAUUUUCUGAACUUUUUGCAGUUUAAAAACAAUAACAGGAUAUUUAAAUUAAUUAUGUUAUUAUGCAUGGACAAUAUGCUGAUUAUUGCCCAAUGAUAAACUUUUGCUUGUGCAAGCAUCAAUAAAGAGGGGAAUGUGCUCCUACUGUAUCUUUAAAACACUAUUUUUUUCUUCUCUUGUAUAUUGAUCUUACCAUAGAACUUCAGCUUAAUGAUGUGGAAUAAUUGCCUCUGUUUUCAACUUACUAUCCUAGUGGGAUACUCUGAUAGGUUUUUGGACGAGGAAGACACAGAGUGGAUGCCAGCUGGUAUUGGACUGGUUUUGGGCCUUGAUUUAGUUAGUUAGAUGGGUCCUUUUUUCUUCUUUUUUUCUUUUGUUUUCUUUUUCUCUCUUCCUCCUUUAUUGUCCUUUCUAACAAACCGCUGCCGCUGCCUCUGCCUCCACACACUUUCCAGCGUCUUACCUCCUAUCAGGGCAGCUUCCUUCCCAUCAUUCGAAAUCUAAAUCCUCUAAUAUAUCUAUUCAUUUCAUAGCUCCCUCGUUUCUUCGCCAAUUCUCUCACUCUCGCUCUCUUUUCAAUUUUUUCCUGUCAUUCUUUUUUAGCUUUGGGUAACCACAGGCCAAAAAAUCACACGCUACAGUCGGAAGAGAGUUUUCGUGAGAGAGAAACCCUAAGUUUUCUUUGGCAUUUCUGGUUUUUUUUUAUUUUUUAAAUCUGCUGCUUCAUCGGAGACGCAUUUCAGGAUAAGCUAUUCGAAGAAUAUCCCGUCUUAUCCCAUCUCGGCACAGUAUUUUUAUUGAACGGUUCAGUUGUUUUUUGUUUCCGGUUCAGGUUUUUUGCGUGUUUGGACCGGGCUUCCUGUCGUACUUAUUCCGGAUGGGGAUAUCCCACUCCUGGGACAUCCCGGAUAGGGGAUAUCAUUUAUAAGGAUACCCCGGCUUGGUAUAUCCCAUUACAGGGAUAUUCGAAUUUAGGAUAUGGGAAUUUGAGGCUUGGGGCUUGGGUUUAGGGGUGGGCAGGUGUUAUCAAUUAGAAAAGCCGUGUGUCAUCUCAUCAGGUGACCAGAAUAUGUACCAAAAUUUUCAUUAACCUUAUAAAUUAUUAAAAAAGAAUUGACGGUGAGGUUUCUUUUUAAUUGAAAUGGGCUUUUUUAUAAUAAAUCCAACAAGCCAAUUCUAGGCCAUUGACGACUUUAAUCCAACAAACCAAAUGGACCGUCUAAAUGAGGGGAAGAAAAGAAGGAAGCCAGCCAGCCACUAAGAAAUGAAGCUUCUCUCUCCUUUAUUAUAGGGUUUAUGAAUAAUCUCGAUUUCAAUCUCUCUUCUCCUGACAUAUCUCCGGCAAUAAAACGCCAGCAUUUCAUUCCAUCUUCGUUUGUUGGGUUUUGGGUCAGAUCGACUCCCGGGUAAGAAUUCAUGCCUUUGUUUCACAGUUCGACUCCUUAUUCCGCUUCUCCUAAAGAUUCUUCUCAUUUGAAUCUUUGCCAUUGUCGUUGUUACACAGCUUUUGGUUUGGAAUUACCGGUCGAUCAUAGGAUGGUUGACUGAAUCGGUUUCCAAAUUGGGUUUUUGUUUUGUAUUGUAAGCAAUUUACUGAAUGUGGAUUAUAAAUCCAUAAAUCCAUAAAUGGAUUUUGGAUUUCUUUGUCUUUGUUAUUUCAGAAAGUGAUUUGUUUGUAAUUUAUGCUUUUGGUUGGUUUAAAAUAGUUUAACUAUUUUGGAGUAACAUAGGGAUAUUGCGUUGCCAGGUAUCAAAUUGUACACUCUGCUUGUCUCAGGUUUUAGUGAGAACUCUUCAUUAGUAUCUAAGCUGGGACUUAAAAUUUUUCAUAGGAUGGAUGAUCUCUUUACAGUCAAUCAUCCAGGACAGAUGUUUGAGUUUUCAUGUUGUCCUUCGUAAAUUCUCGGGUCUCUAGAACAUUACUUGGACUAAUAAAUUAGCUUUAUGGUUAAAA